rnacentral:rRNA from 1 species
GACGAACGCUGGCGGCGUGCCUAAUACAUGCAAGUCGAGCGGACAGACGAGGAGCUUGCUCCGCGGACGUGAGCGGCGGACGUGUGAGAAACACGAGUAUAACGUACCUAUAAGACGGGGAUAACUUCGAGAAACCGGAUCUAAUACGGGAGAAUAUAUUGAACCACGGGGGGGAAUAGUGAAAGACGGUGGUGGUGGCACGUAUAGAGGGAUCCGCGCCGGAUGAGCUAGUUGGGAAGUUCAAGGCUUACCAAGGGAACGAUGCGUGGCCGACGGGAGAGGCUGAUAGGCCACACGGGAACGGAGCCGCGGUCCAGACUCCUACGGGAGGCAGCAGUAGCGAAUCUUCCGCAGUGGGCGAAAGCUUGACGGAGCAACGCCGCGUGAGUGAUGAAGGUCUUCGGUUCGUAAAACUCUGUUAUUAGGGGAGAACAAAUGUGUACGUAACUAUGCACGUCUUGACGGUACCUAAUCAGAAAGCCCCGGCUAACUACGUG